UGCAUUUAUCCCCGGGACGAGAUUUAUUUUCGAAAUUAUUAAUGGACAUGCUUUUUAUAUUUACGGAACUACAAUAAUGACAUAAUUGACGUGUGUAACAAAUAGCGUAAACACUAAUUUAUAGAUCUUAAUUGGCGUACAUUCUUUUUGUAUCUGCGAUACGUUUUAUGUUUGACAUUUCUGACGUUUACUUAAGGUUAAGUUCUGACUGUGAUGCAAUCCCUUCUGGUGACGAACCGCGUUUGCAUGUAUUGGGACACGUUGCGGUCAUAAAUAUUUGAAUAUAUAGUAAAGAGCAAAGAUGCUGAGCAUUUACUGCAUAACAUCCUCGCUAAUCUCGACAUUGAAAAUCCUGUUGAUCAUCUGUAGUACCGGGUUGAUAUGCACACUGAUAAUUCUACCAAUUUUAAUAAUUUACGGAAAACAUCAUUUUGCCAAGAAGCGAAAUGGCAGAUCACACAAAGAAACAGUGGCUGGCUUCUUCCACCCAUAUUGUAAUGCUGGCGGUGGAGGUGAACGAGUUCUGUGGGCUGCUAUCAAAGCCAUACAAACUAAAUGGCCAAACAUACAUAUUGCGGUAUAUACUGGAGACUUGAAUGCCGAGCCAGAGCAGAUCAUUAAAAGAGCAGAAAAAUCAUUCAACAUUCAGUUGAACUCAGGAAUUGAAUUCAUAUAUCUACACAAAAGAAAAUGGGUCGAUGCUUCCCUGUACCCAUAUUUUACGUUGCUAGGUCAAAGUCUUGGAUCUGUGUUGCUAGGUCUCGAGGCUCUGAACAAUUUACAACCUGAUAUGUAUAUCGAUACAAUGGGAUAUGCGUUUACAUAUCCCUUAUUCAAGUAUAUCGGUGGCUGUCGCGUUGCGUGUUACACUCAUUAUCCCACAAUUUCUACCGAUAUGUUGAGACAUGUGUAUCGUAGAGUUAUAUCUCACAACAAUCGACGCAUAAUAGCAAGAAACCCUUUUCUAUCAGCUGCUAAGAUUGCAUACUACAAAUUCUUUGCUGCCAUAUACGGUUGGUGUGGCAGGUGUGCUGAGACUGUGAUGGUGAAUUCUUCAUGGACCGAAGACCACAUUAAUGCGAUAUGGAACUGCCCACUAAAGACUCAUAGGGUCUAUCCUCCUUGUGACGUAAAACACCUGACGCAAUUGCCACUUCUCACCAUGGAAGAAAAACAUGGAAUCAUUAAGAUUGUGUCUGUUGGCCAAUUUAGACCUGAAAAAGACCAUCCGUUACAAUUGAGGGCUCUGUACGAACUUAGAUCUAUAGUCAGUGACGACUUAUGGGAAAGGAUUCGGAUGGUAUUUAUUGGCUCAUGUCGCGACGCUGACGAUGAGGCCAGAGUAAAAGACAUGCAAGAUUUGGCAAAACAUUUGGCACUAGAUGAGAAUGUCGAAUUUAAACUGAACGCACCUUAUUCCGAAUUAGUGAAGGAAUUGCAAGAAGGCACAAUAGGAAUCCAUGCAAUGUGGAACGAGCACUUUGGCAUUGGCAUUGUAGAAUGUAUGGCUGCAGGACUAAUCAUGGUGGCACACGCGUCUGGUGGUCCCAAAGCUGAUAUCGUAGAAACUCAGCGAAGUAGUCAGACUGGUUUCUUAGCGGAAAACCCAGAAGAGUACGCAAAAAUAAUGGCAUACAUCAUGAGCAUGCAUGCCAAAGAUAGAGACGGAAUAAGAACUGCAGCAAGAGCCUCCGUCAACCGAUUUUCAAGUGAAAACUUUGAAACAGAAUUCACAAGGGCGGUUGAACCUUUCUUUCGACAAAAACAAGAAUGAAUCAACUUCAAUCGAACCAAAUAAUGACAUAAGUCAUGGCUGUAUCUAUUCCUGUUUUGUACAUAACAAAAUAAAGUUUUUGAGACAUCUGACUUACUGUCAUUGGUCAGUGCAAGCCCUUCACACUCCACGACGAAUGUUUCUGGGCCUCCAUCUUCAUUUUGCUCC
rnacentral:misc_RNA from 1 species